GUGCUUGUUUCAGCAGCACAUAUACUAAAAUUGGAGUGAUACAGAGAAGAUUAGCAUGUUCCCUGUAGAAGGACGACAUGCAAAUUCAUGAAGCCUUCCAUUUUGAA
rnacentral:snRNA from 1 species